ensembl:lncRNA
GUAAUAGGAAGAGAGUGAUGCAGCUGAAGAGGUUGCAGGAGUAAAUGAGAUCUCAUCCUGUUUCCAGUAUAUACGUUACUCCUCUUCUACAUCCCUCAAACACUUAAGGAUUCGCAAGUGUCCUUCAUAAUUCCACACUCUUGUACACAGCUGAGGAAACAACUCUGAACUCCAAAGAUCCUAAUAGUCUGUGAGAGAUUUUCCCUGGCGUUACAUUUAGAGCCUGCUGUGCUUGUUCAUACAUCCCUAUGUGGAGAAGAUGCUGAGAAGAGAAGAGAAAAUAAAUAUAUCAAAAGUAAAUUUGAAGAAAGGAAUUGCGUCUUCAAGACAGAAAGAGCAAAUUGCUGUCAUGGAGAUUAUCAAACACCAUCUCAAGUGUGAAUUGUGAUUCAUAAAGAAGGAAAUGUAUGAGAGCAGCUCUGAAAAGAUUUUGUUAUGUUGGCCCAUGGCACCAGAGGCGGAUGAUGGUGGUUUGUCAGUAGGCUGAAUCUUCCCGCCCAUAUCCUCUAACAUUUUGUUGCUGUGUGACACAUGUCAGCAGAGGGGCAAAUUGACAGAAUGGUGUCUGACACGGAAUAUUGAGGAGACAUAAACCUGUUUUGGUGCAUCCAAAGGAGGGCCAUAAAAAUGAUCCAAAGGAUGGAAUAAGAUGGAACAACUCUCCAAUGAGGACAGGCUGAGAGAGCUGAGGCUGUUCAUCUUGGAGAAGAGAAGGCUUUGAGCUGUGGUAGUAUGCACAACACAGUGGUUUCUCCUCGGCAUCAGUUCAAAAGAAGCUCAAAAACAAAUGAAAGAAAAUACGAGUUCCAUGUCUGAAGUGAGGAGAUUAAGGGAUACUGGACAACUCAUCUCUGAAGAAACUUCAGAGAGCUUUAUUUUUGGCAGCUGGACGGUUGUUCCAAUAGUGCUGUGCAGCUUGCUGGAUGGAGGAGGAUAUUGACUGAUGUGACACCUGCUUGCUGUGAGUCUUACUCUGGUUCCUCUGCAACUUCUCUACAGUGUUACAAAAUAAAGUUGAUGGCACAGGACCUCAGUUUUGAAGUUAAUGUUUGGUGCCUGGGACAUCUCAAAAUUCAAGAGCUGAACUUUUUGGGAUGAAAAUCUUCGGAGAGAAUCAGGCAUUGAUCUAUUAUUUUCUUAGUCAGAGCUUCCACCAUGAGGCUGCCAAAGAAAUAAAUGUCACCUUCUUCACUUUCUUCAGAUGCAGUUUUUGGAAGUGAUAACUGGAACUGCAGUCUGUGAUAUAUAAAAUAUAAGUGUACAUUGGAUUGAGCUCCCGAAAAGGAUUUUGGUAAUGGGAUGUCCUGUUUCUGGAUCCUGUUUAGGCAAUGGGAUUUAGGAUGCUCUACCUAUUAAGAUAGAUACUGUUGCAAUGCAUAUACAGAAAUGAAAUUUUAUGAUUUAGUUCUGAACAACAUUGAGGCACUGAGGUAUAAUCAGCUAGUAAUAGUUGAAAGCAUUGUUUUUCAGAGUAACAGAUUUGUAUUCAAAUAUAUGAAUUCUAACCCACUCCCACUUUGAGUGAUUUGCUAUCUGAGUGAGCAGCAGGAAAUCUUGCAGAUAUUUUUCACUGCAGCAUCCUGAAGAAGCUCAUACUAUUUUCUUUUUUUGUCGUCUUCUUGGUUUUACAGACAUAAUAUAUCCCUAUAUGUUUCUCCAGCAGAACUACAGAUGUCUCCCAUUACUUUUCUACAGCAACAUGGGUUAGAGCUUUCUCUAUAUGAAAAAAAAAAAAAAAAUGCUAUAAGCCUCAUUUUCACAGUGGUUAUAAUGAUUGUCUUCAAUAGGGCAAUCCUUGCUGCAAGCAUUUCACGACAGUCUCAGUGAGCACAACGCAAAGUCUUUUAAUGCCUCAUCUUCAGGGUGUGGUAAGAUGAUGGGUAUUACAUGAUGCCUAGAAAGAAAUACCUAAUUUUGACCUUUUCAUUGUUUUCAUUAGGAAGGAAGCAAACAAAAAUAUUCUUUUUCCUUUUCCUUUUCCUUUUCCUUUUCCUUUUCCUUUUCCUUUUCCUCCUUCUCCUUCUCCUUCUCCUUCUCCUUCCUUCUCCUUCUCCUUCUCCUUCUCCUUCUCCUUCUCCUUCUCCUUCUCCUUCUCCUUCUCCUUCUCCUUCUCCUUCUCCUUCUCCUUCUCCUUCUCUUUCUUUUUCCUUUUCCUUUUUCUCUUUAAAUAAUAACCUGGAAGUAUGGUUGUGCAAAAGCAGAAAUUUUGUUCAAAGAAAGAUUUCCUUUGAGCAAAAAGUACAUUUUAAAGAAAUAAAUUUGACCAUUUUUAGUAACUUACAUGAAAGAAAGAAGAGCUACUGUGAACAGGAAUUCUGAAUUUUUAUGAAUGCCAAUGGUGCUGCUAAAUUAAAAUUUUUCAACUUUUUCCCUUAGUUGGAUCAAAUGUGUUUAAAUUUAUAAAUUAGUAACCAGUUAUUUACAGACAACAAUUUGAAAAUAAGUCAGAGAAAACCAGUAGCAUUUGCCUCAGUACUACUAGAAAGACUGAAUGUAUACCUAGUCACAUUAAGAAAACAGUUACAAGGACCUACAAAACUCAUGCUGACAUUUAGACAGAAAGAACAUAAGCAUCUUUAGGCAAACAAAUUAGUAAGUCUAGCUAUGAAUAGUAAAGCCUCCCACACUAUCUCUGAAUCAGUUACCAACUUGCCUAGUAUAUAUCUGAUGGGCAGCCAAAUGGGAUGUUAUAGAAUGAGCAGCAAACCCUUGAAUAAAAAGUGGACACCCAAGGUGCCAUUUUGAUUAGUAUCUAUCUAUUAAGAUAGUUAGAGGUUUUUUCCUCUUUAAGCUGAUGUAACAUCAGAGAAAGAAGUCUUUGACUUGACCAGAAAUCCUUGACUUGGUUCUUAGAAACCUGAGGAGCACUAGAGUUUAGGCUGGAGAUAUGAAACUUUUUGUGGAAAACUACCACUAUUCUAUCAGAACUUAGCAAAAAAUUCAUUUUGUCAUGUUGAGUGGUGAAUUUUUUGUCCUAACACAUACAGGUUUUGGAAAGCUAUAAAGAAGAAACUUCACUCAACCCAGCUUGCUCCAUCAGUCUAGGAAAAAGCUAUUAGUGUGAAAAGAAAUUCCAAAAGUUUUAGGAGUUGAGAUUCACCUAAAAAUUUAUAUCUGCUAAGUAGAGUGAAAAUUUGAGGAGGAGUACAACUGAAAAGCAGGAACGCAAAUAAAUGUUAUUUCUGUAGAAGUUCAUGGGACUUUUGCUUGCAUGGAAGCCCAAAAGAGUCUGUAGAAUGUUGCCAGUACAUUCAGAAUAAAAUAGGAAUUUUAGAAAAGCAGAAGGAUUUGGCAAUGUCAUGUCCAGGAAUGAAGAAUAAUCAGAAUAAAUUAAGUAGGUCAUGGGAUGGACAGACUCAUAUAAUUACAAUGAAAUCAUAAUAUAAAUCAUUGGAGAACCAGCAGUGGUAAACACUGUUAGGUGGUUUUUUUUAUUGUUGUUUUUUGUGUAUGUGUGUUUGUUUUUGUGGUUUGUUUUUUUUUUCACUGAGGUAGCCAUAUUACAAGCAGGCAGCAUGAAUUACUUUAUUGAAUAUUCAAAGAUGUUUUGAAUACCCUGUAACUUCUUAUGAGAUUAUCAACCACCAUUUUCAGAUGUGCCUUAGGUCACUAAAAUGAUACACAGGACAUCAUUAUGCUUCCUAAAUGAUCUCAAUGCAGCAAUUUCAAUACAGUAGUUUGAUAACCAAUUAAGUGGCAUUCUAAACAUUUUAAGUUUUUCAUAUUUUCAAAAAAUCUCAGUAAGUGAAUAGUGCUAUGUAGUCAAUUUUUAACCCUCACGUGUAAUGACUGGUAAAGGAAGAUGAUUAAAAUCAACCUGGAAUGGUUUGGAUGUGCAAAAAUGUCAAAAUAUCAUGAGAUUAUGUACAGUCUUUAACUAAUGGACCAGUAAUUUGUAGUGAGAGUCAUGAGGCCUUCUGUUAUACAGACCUUUUGUUGAUUUGUCAGGGGAAAACUUUCUUCAGUACUUUUCUUGUAUGAUAUAAAUAAUCAUCACAGGUAGCAGUAAAUAAUUCUUGACUCUAGUUACCUAAAUGAACUUACUGAAACUUAGUGAAACAUCUGUAACAACACUUAGCAGCACUUGCAAAGAAAUCUUGUGCAGUAGUAGCAAAGGGAAACAGCAAUAUUUAGUCUGACAAGCUUUAACUCCAGUCACUGCCAGCCCAUUUUCAAAGGAAAAAAUUGCAGUCUGACUCAGGAUAAAUAUUAUAUGGACUGCUUUGUGGUAAAUCAUUCAUAAAGAAAGGUAGACUGUUCACCAAGAUUAUCUUUCUGAUUCAAAUGUAGCAAAAUGUUAGAUUUUACUUGGGCUCAUUUGUUUUCCUGAAAGACAUUUGAAUAAGCAAAAACCUGUAGAUCUCUCUCUUCUGGUUCCUUUGUUGAGGCAAUAGCUACCACACACAAAGGGACUGUAUAGGCAGGAUAAAGGCAGCUUUAAUACCCUGCACAGUUCCCAACAGCUGGAUGUAGUGUGCAGCUCUGCCAACAAGUCUGUGUAAGCCCAGCAGCACAAAUGAGGUGGUGACACACCAGCAACAACUGCUCUUGGAAUGUACUCACCAUCAGUUUACUGGAAACAUCUUCCAGCUCCACUGGUCUCCCUUUAGUUUUUGGAUACCUUCCUAGAGCCUUUCUAUUUAACCCCUGAAUCCCUGAACUGCAGACAGUCUUACAUUGACUCACUUACUUUUGCUUGCAGUUUUACUUUUCUUAUCUCACUGGGUUUCCAUCCAUAUAUUUUCUUACAGUUUCCUCAGCAGGAAUGCAGCUUUCCCAGAUGUUUGUGUUGAGUUUACACAGUUAUGCCAGGUCAUUGCUUGGCUGUGGAUCAGGGAGCAUUGAUCAUUCAGAAGGGAGGUUGCCAAUCUGACAGGUGACAGCGUGGGAGGUAAGGAGAAGGAAGAACAGCCUCUUUUGCGCUUGCUGAUUUCAGUGCCUGAAAUGCUAUCUCAUCUCCACUAAUCCUCUAGCUUUCACAGCUGAACUUUCAGAUCUGCCAGCUCUUCCCAGAAAGAGACUGAGAACCGACAGGAGGAAAUCGAAUGCACUUUAAAUCUGAAAUCUGUCAUCAGAGUAGCAGUCUUCACAAACUCAACUUUUCAAAGAAGGAAAUUUUCAGAUUCUAACUUCUUAUUGGAAAGCUGCUGGAGACCUUUUCUUGCUAUGCUGUUAUUUGGAGUGAAUAAAGAAUCUUUUCUACUUUCAGCUCAGUAUCAAGGCUGGUUCUGUGGCAGGAUGUGCAGACCGCUGGGCUGCUUUCUCUGCAGAAGUGCAAGGGGAGAUGGAGGCCAUCCGCAUAAAGGGGACUGCACACAAUACCCUUGGUGCCCACCAUGAGGUGAAGACUCAACCAGACCCUACACAUGAGCAUCACAGCAUAUGCAGACAUAAAGGAGGAGGAGUAGAACAAGCUGGGCAUCAGUGUGCAUCUGCAGUGAAGGCAACAGGAGCACUAUCUCUACAUAAUUAACUUAAAGCAGAAUUGGCUUUUUAUGGAUGUUUGGCAACACUUACAAAUAAUGGUGCAAUAAUUAAAGAUGCAUUACAAAGAAUCUCAGCUGGAAGCAGACUUUUCAUCACACCCUAAUACCCCA